rnacentral:lncRNA from 1 species
GCUGUUCGGUAGCGGAGUGUCACCCUGAUUUCCAGCCCCGCAGCACACACAGUGAGAGCCUGCCUGGCGUGAUUCAGAGGCAACGUAUUUCCCAAGGUGGCUGUGAAGGAACCAGGGGGAUAAACACAGCCCGUGAACCGCACGCCAGAGGACAGGUCCGGCUGCCUGCCGCGGAGUCGUCACGGCGUGUCGCGUCUGAGCGCUUCUCCAAAGCACCCAAGUGGCACCCGGGGUGACAGUUACAUCAUCUUGAGUACAGUUCUCUCAAGGAAAAAGCAAGCCCAGCAUCUUCUGCCAUGGCAACCCUGGCUUGGAGCCUCCAUAAGAGAGAAGGCCCUAAGAAUAAUACCAUUUUCUUGCUCUAAGUUGCUCUUACGGGAAAGAAGUGAUAAUAUUCUUCCUAAACGCCAUCAUUCGUGCAUCCUUCCCACCUAUAUGUGUCACCGGAUCAUUCUCCGCCUGGGCGGGGCCGUCCUGUGCACUGCAGAAUGCUGAGCAGUGUCCUUGGCUUCGACCGACCACAUGCCAGGAGCACCCCAAUUUCUGCCAUCGGGUGAUUGACUUCACUGUUGCAUUUGAUUUUUUAUGUAUCUUUUAAAAGGACCCAAUAGGGCCAGGCACAGUGGCUCACACUUGUAAUCCCACCUCCUGAGUAUCUGGGAUUACAGGCAUGCGCCACCACACCCAGCUAAUUUUGUAUUUUUAGUAGAGAUGGCGUUUCUCCAUGUUGGUCAGGCUGGUCUCAAACUCCCGACCUCAGGUGAUCUGCCUGCCUCGGCCUCCCAGAGUGUUGGGAUUACAGGCGUGAGCCACCACGCCCAGCCGGGUUUAUAGUUUUAUAACCCUUAUGACAAAUCUCAUAGUAUUCUGCAGGGAUAAGCAUGAAACCACUCGUUCAAUAAGUGCAAACAAAAACGCCAACAAUUCUUAAGACAUUUCUAAUCUUAUUUUACCAAUAAUUUUAAAGCCAGCUUAUGUAUUAAAGAUUUAUAACUACUUUUAUUAACACGUUUAAAAUUCUAUGCAGCUUAAAGCAUUUAUAAUGGAUAAAACUGCCAAUACUGAGUGCCUGACAUAAUAUUUGAAAGGUGGCAGGCAUUCAACCAUGGUCACUGAAUGAGAGAUGUAGGGAAGAUGAUGGCAGGGAGGUUUUUAGAUAUCAACACCCUGAUAGUUCUCAUUUUAACCACCUGUAAGUGCACAUACAAGUCAACGGCACUGGCCGGGCGCGGUGGCUCAUGCCUGUAUUCCCAGCACUUUGGGAGGCCAAAUCACAAGGUCAGGAGAUCGAGACCAUCCUGGCUAACACGGUGAAACCCCGUCUCUACUAAAAAUACAAAAAAUCAACUAGGCAUGCUGGGACUACAGGUGCCUGCCGCCAUGCCCGGCUAUUUUUUUUUUGUAUUUUUUGGGGGUUUUACUGUGUUGCCCAGGCUGGUCUUGAACUGCUGAGCUCAGGCAAUCUGCCUGCCUCAGCCUCCUAAAGUACUAGGAUUACAGGCAUGGGCCACCACGCCCGGCCUUAUUUUUAUUUUUGAGACAGUCUCACUCUGCCGCCCAGGCUGGAGUGCAGUGGUGCGAUCUCGGCUUACCGCAAUCUCUGCCUCCCAGGUUCAAGCGAUUCUCAUGCCUCCGUCUCCCAAGUAGCUGGGAUUACAGGCACCUGCCACCAUGCCCGGCUAAUUUAACGCCCAGCUAAUUUUUGUAUUUUUAGUAGAGAUGGGGUUUCACCAUGUUAACCAGGCUGGUCUCGGACUCCUGACCUCAGGUGAUCCGCCCGCCUCGGCCUCCCAAAGUGCUGGGAUUACAGGCGUGAGCCACUGUGCCUGGCUGAUUUUUAUUCUUUUAGUUAAGGCUGGUUGAUAUUACCUUGUGUGUAUAUACCACAUGUUGUUUAUCCAUUGUUGUUGAUGGACAUGUGGGUGGUUUCACCUUUUGGCUAUUGUGAAUAAAGCUGCUAUGAACACUGUG